CUCAAGGAUGUGAUCCAUUGGCAUACAAGGAUUAUGCCUUUUACACAGAGGACUUUAAAAAAGCUUCGUCAUUGUGCUGAGGCCUCCGGACAACAUCCUGCAUUAGCAGUGCUUGACUUAACUGACAACCUAUGGCUGGAAGAGAUCCAUUAAUCUUCUGUGUCACGAUCCCUCCAGGCACCCCAGCCCUGCUCAAACUUUGGCUGGCAUCUACAGCUGAAGAGACCCCUCAGUUCUUGGUGUCUGAAGGACGACAGCCCCGUGACGAUCUUAUCUGGCUUAUGUUUCCCACAUCUCCCAGUGCUGGGUGAGUUGUUCAGGCCCUCUGUGCCUUUUCUGGAGGACACAUCCCUAUCCGAGACUUGUGACAAGAAGGGAUGAGUUAGAAGAUGAAUUGCCUGCUUUUGUGACAACAGCCGCAGAAGGCAUACUGACUUUUGGAAAUGGGAAGUGUUUGGUUUUCAUGACUUGUUGCUAAACAGCCACCAGUGUGGAGGACAGAGAAUUUGUCCUAUUUUGCUCAAAGAGCCACUGCCUCAACUUGUGUUUGCUGUUUAUGGUCAGAGUCCACAGGCCAUCUCCCUUGCCCUUUCUGAAAUGUCUAAAUAAGCAUCUUCAGUUGCUCUGUGCUGCAAUGGGAUAUGACCAGCUUGUUUCAAGCAUGGGUUGUGUUAUUUGUCAUGACAGUGAGCAAGCGGGACAGUGGGAACAAGCUGAAGAAAACCCUUGAGAGGUACAUUGACUUCAAGAUGUUCCUUGGAGGUUCUUCUUUCUCCCCAGCAACAAAGACAGCAAAUAGACAUGUUGUGCUGGCCCAGAGGGCCUGUCUGCCAUCUUGGGCCUGGGGGACAUCAAACACCAGGAACCGACCUGGAAGGAACUAUGAGAGGCUGUGCAAAAUGGUCAUCACAUCUCAGGGUAGGACCACAUCUCCCUAAACCAGCCCUGACAGUACUUCUGUUAUGUUGUGGAUGGGGUUGAUGGUCCUUGUAAGAAGGGCUAGAAGAAGACAGAAGAGAAAAUCGAUGCUUGGAAAAUAACAAUGAGUCAAUGCUUGGUGAGAAGGGAACUCAAAGAGAGGUGAAGAGAUCCCUGCCUGAGAACAUCCAGCUGAUUUCUCCACCUGGCUAUGGUGUCACCUUGUGAUAGCAGCAGGGUUGUGGCUUGCACAAGGACUACCGUGUCCCAUGAUAUCCCUGCCACCUUGCUCCAGUUUUGGUCAGUUCUUGUUCCUGCUGCCUCAGAAAGGUUUACUGAGUGUGAGAUAGAUUAAGUGAGAAGUCAGCCUUGAGGGCAACACUGGAAAAUAAUUUGGGGAGGGAAAGAAAGUACAUAUUUGGUCAGGUCUACAUGCCAGGUCUUGAACCAGCAGAGCUGUUUUGGCAAGAAGUGUGGUUUUGUUUGAGUGAAAUAGUUAUGAAUCCAACUUCAAGGCUGAUUGCAUCUUUAUGGCCUGAAAUUGCUUUAUAGCUGUAAUUUAUUCUCCCUUUCAUACAGGAAUAGCUCUGGCAAGGGCUGGUCUUGUUGUAACUAACACCUGGAGGCUGAGCUGAGAAAAAUUAUUCACUGCCUGACAAAACAGGAACUUGAGAAUAUCAUGAAAUCCUGUCAAGCUGCAUGUUCAACACCAUCAAAGGGAGGCACUUUGUGUGCUGAACCUAUAGACUGCCUUGGGUGGGUCCUGUGGGUGCUGAUGUGAGUUCAGCAUUUGGGCAAGUUCAUGGACUUUGGAGUACAGACACGCUAUCUCUUGUUUGGGCAACCUUUGGGCCACUAACUACUGGAAGAGGGAUUGCAGUCCAGUGCAGGAAGAUGGCAGAGAUGCCUCAUUCUUACUCUAUUUGGAGGCAUAUGCCGGUAGGCAUGGUCAGAGACAGAACAUGAGACUAGAAGGACUUCUAGUGUAACCAUACACACCCAUGGGACUUUUCACCACCGUUACUGUGUCCACCUCAGCUGCUUUGCCAGCACUUCAGGGCAGGACAGGGUUUUCUUGCACUAUUGACACACACACACACAAGGCACUUGAUGUGUAGAUUGAACCUUUAAAGUCCAGGGUCUUCAUCCACGGGAUGGCCUGCAUGCCAGGAGGUACAGCUGAAAUUCGGUGCCCAGAUUUGACAUCCUUUUUUUACCCGGUUGAAGGUAAGGCUGCACUGUUCAGACAACACCAGCACUUGGAAAGCUACCUUAGCAUAGAACAAUAGAAUUGGUUUUAAAUGACCUUAUAGUUCCCGUGGAAUGCAAACGCAGCAGCAAGGCUCCAGUGCAGUGAGGACUCCUCCAUUCAAACCAGUCUCUGUUCUUGUAAAAUGUUUAUAGAAUAAAAUUAUUAUAAAAUUU